rnacentral:lncRNA from 1 species
GGACCCAACCCAACAUAAGGCUCAAGUAGCAUUAUCACGUAGGUACAGUCCAAGACUUGCUUACCAAAAAUGAAGUCAACCACAUAGAAAUAGACAAGAUAGAUACUAUGCAGGCAAUCGUUUGUAAAUAGAAAGGCUAAAAGUUCAAGUGAUAUCUUAAAAGUGAUCAAUAAGAAAUAAUAAUAUCUCUUUAUACAUGAGGGUGCCAACCAAUUGAGUUGGUCAAGUCACUAGCUAUUGGAUAUCAGUGAUGUGGGCUCAAUCCAGUCCUCACCC